GCCGGUAAUUGUACAUUAAUUGGCUUCAUUCCUCUCUGAAGGUCUAGCAGAGCACAGCCCUCUUAUUUGCUGCCUUCCAAAGCACACUGUAUGCUAAAAAUAUUGAGGGAGUCAUUGUUCUUUCAUUGCCUUUUAAUCUUUAAGUAACGUGCCCAUAGAAAUAAGUCCAGUGAUUCUACCCUGACAUUCAAUAUUUCUUCAAAUUUUUAAAAAGCAAAAUAAAAAAGGAUUUCAUUACAACUUGGGGCUGGUGAUACCUAAGGAUAAGAGGCAGAAACAGAGUAAGGAAGCUGACCUAAAGUUAAAAUGGACAGUGGAAUCAAAACAGCCCUGGAAAAGGAGUCUGAGGAUCCUUCAGUCACUAACAAGUGUGCAUCUUGAACAACUCACUUGAUCUUUCUUCGACUUCAUUUCCUCACAUGCAAAAUGAAGAGGCUUGUCUACAUCUAGUUUUGAAUUUCCUAUGUAAAUUUUAAAAAUGAAAAGAAUGGGGUAUUUGCAACUCUCAAAAGAAUUUCAGAUACCAGAUGAAGUCCCCAUGACAUGAGGUCUUCAAAGACGGCCAAAGUUUGGGAAGACUUUGAAAGAGCUGAGGAGAACAAUCAGUGAUUCAAUUAAGACUCCAGAGGAAUUCAUAUCAGAACCAUAUAGGUGAGGUCCUAAUUUAUGGUAAAAUCUCUUAACCUAUACUUCAAGUAAAUGGUUUAAAAGAAUAUAGAGAGAUUAAAAAUCCAAAUACUGAGAGCCUACUGGGUAGAAAGCACUGUCCAAGAAGCUGAAAGAAAGAUGAACACAGUGUGGACCAUGCCAGCGGGAGAUGACUGCUUUGUAAAAAACAGAAAACAAAAAACUCCAGCCCUUGAGCUGCUUGCACACCAUAGACACCUUGAGGCAAUUAGAGACUACAGCUGAUGCAGGCAAAACAAACUCAAUCAAAUCAGCUCACUAAAAGGACUAAAUCGGAUAGUCUGAGUGGAAAACUAUCAACUCAGUCCGGACUAAAAUCAGACAAUUUAGUCAGGGUGUGAAAGCAAACUACUGUUCCAUUAAUUUAACAGACAUAUCACUUUGAACCAGGUAUUUGGCUGACACUAAGCUUCAGCUAGAAAGCAGGAUCUGGCUCGUUUCAAUGUAUUUGUUCUAAAAUAAUAAGAGAAAGACCAGACAGAUGGGAAAACAAAAAUAAAAGCAAAUGACCAAGAUGAAUAUAGAAAUCAUAUCAAAUAUAAAGUAAAAGAAAGAGGAGGAAAGGAAAAUGAGAGGAUUGAAUUAGAUGAUUUCUAAAUGUCCUUUUCCCGUUCUAAAAGAAAAAAUCCCUUGACUACAUAUUAAAGAUCAGAAAUUUGAGAAAAUGAGUUAAGAUCAUCCAAACACCCCAAAUAACUCCAGGAUUAUACAUGGAAUAAUGUAUUUCAAAGGACAUUUAUUGAAAGUCCUAUUAAAUUAUUUCCAUUAAAAAAUUGUAAGAACUUGAGUGCCAGGUUUGAAGAUGAGUAAGACACAUUUAACAGUUACAUGAAGAACACAUGCUUACUUCUACAAACUGACAUCCUUUCCUGUGAUCACUUAGGUUACUGGCACUAAAAAUAUUCCAAGCAGAAGGGUAUUUUUCAGCCAGUUACAUAAUUGUAACAUACUUUGUUACUUUCUUUGAAAAAUAGAUUAAAUUACAUCAGAUCCAUAUACUUGACCCAAGAUUUCCAAUUUCUUUUGUAUGACAUCUUGGGGGUGGGGGACAGGGAUGAAAUGAUCUAAGAAAUAAAACUGAAGCAGACCAUGUUUGCACCAUAAUAAAGCUUCCAAGUUUAAAGCUGAAUUAUCUCUAAAUAUUCUUCCUUAUGUGUCACCCUUAUAUUUUACCCUAGACAGCAUCACUCAGCUCUAGAAGUUUCUAUAGUAAUUUAGAAAGAUUGGAAAUGCUUCAUCUCCUGGAUGCUAAAAUAGUAUUUUCCAUGGGUUUAUU
rnacentral:lncRNA from 1 species